UCUUGGUCAUUUAGAGGAAGUAAAAGUCGUAACAAGGUUUCCGUAGGUGAACCUGCGGAAGGAUCAUUAGUGAAUUUGUAGCCUCCAAGGCUCACAUUCUCUAUCCUUUACACACCUGUGCACCCUUCUGAAGCGGAGAGUUAUUAGGCAUUGGCCGAGCGCCUCCCUUCGGUUAUUAUAUCAAACUCAAACUACGUUUACUAGAAUGUAUACCGUCUUGUUGUAACGACAAGUACAAUCCAAUAAAACUUUCAGCAACGGAUCUCUUGGCUCAGGCAUCGAUGAAGAACGCAGCGAAAUGCGAUAAGUAAUGUGAAUUGCAGAAUCCAGUGAAUCAUCGAAUCUUUGAACGCAACUUGCGCCCUCUGGUAUUCCGGAGGGCAUGCCUGUUUGAGUGUCGUGAACACCUCAACCCUCUAAUGUUUUUGCAUUGAAGGCGUUGGUAGUGAGCGCUGCCGGUCUUUGGGUCGGCUCGCUUUAAAAUAAUUAGCUGGAUCCAUUCUGACCUGGUUCUACUCGGCGUAAUAAGUUAUCAUCGUCGAGGACGCCUAGCCUUCUAGGCAGGCGGCCACAGUAAGGGUGUUUGAACCGCUUCCAACACGUCUUGCUCUUGUGGCAAACACUUGAACCUCUGACCUCAAAUCAGGCAGGACUACCCGCUGAACUUAAGCAUAUCAAUAAGCGGAGGA
rnacentral:rRNA from 1 species